ACGAGGUGGGAGCUCACAUUUUUUAGAAUGCGUUAGAUAGUAUGUGUCCUGUCUUUCGUAUGAAGGCUUGUGAGAAGAACCACAACAAACACCUGUAGUAAAAGACUGAAACGCAAAUGGCGGUGGGAAACUGAAAAUAUUUCAAAAGAAGUGGAACAAGUUCUUUGAACCAGCCACCGUCACCUUGUAAUAUCCAAUGGAAAAUCUUUGGUAAGUAGCAAAAGGAAGAAUAUGAAAAUGAUGAAUAUGAAGAUUUUGAAGCUAAAAAGAAGGAAUAUAAUUAAUUUUAGAACCCAAAUCAAAGAUGGAAUUAUUUACAGAGUAGUUUGAUAUUACUAGUCUCCCAGUACAGAAUUCAGGUCCUGCAGCAACCUGGUUUGAGAUUAGAGUAAAAACAAAAUGGAACCAGUUUUCUCUCCUUUUCUAUUAGAAACAAAUUUUAAUGAUAGUGUGCAAGAGAAUAAUAGGUCAGUGGAGUCUUUACAGCCUCAAUGUAGAAUAGCCAAAAAAAAAAAAAAAAAAAAAAAAAAAAAAAAAAAAAAAAAAAAAAA